AAUAUUGGACAAUGGGGGCAACCCUGAUCCAGCCAUGCCGCGUGUGUGAAGAAGGUCUUCGGAUUGUAAAGCACUUGACGUUGGGAGGAAGGGCCCUAGGUUAAUACCCUGAAGAUUUGACGUUACCACCAGAAUAAGCACCGGCUAACACGCUGCCAGCAGCCGCGGUACCACAGAGGGUGCAAGCGUUAAUCGGAAUUACUGGGAGUAAAGCGCGCGUAGGUGGUUCAGUAAGAUGGGUGUGAAAUCCCCGGGCUUAACCUGGGAACUGCUUUCAUAACUGCUGAGCUAGAGUACGGUAGAGGGUAGUGGAAUUUCCUGUGUAGCGGUGAAAUGCGUAGAUAUAGGAAGGAACACCAGUGGCGAAGGCGACUACCUGGACUGAUACUGACACUGAGGUGCGAAAGCGUGGGGAGCAAA
rnacentral:rRNA from 1 species